rnacentral:tRNA from 1 species
GUACAGGUGCCAGAAAUUUAUGGGUCAGUUUCAAGAGCUGAGUAUGAGUAAUAAUCCUCCUUGUAUA